ensembl:lncRNA
GGCUGGAUGGCAGCUGGAUUGACUGAGAACCUAUCACAUUCAUGAAUGCUGAUGAUGUCAGUUUGGUGUAAUUUCUUCUGUCGGCUGGCCAGCAUCAACACUAAAAGAGGGAGGGAGAGAGCGAUGCUUAUCAACAACAACAGAAAGAGCGAGUGGGGAAGCACGGGCAACCGCCAGAGAGAGCGAGAGGGGAAGCACGGGCAACCGCCAGAGAGAGCGAGAAGGGAAGCACGGGCAACCGCCAGAGAGAGCGAGUGGGGAAGCACGGGCAACCGCCAGAGAGAGCGAGAGGGGAAGCACGGGCAACCGCCAGAGAGAGCGAGAGGGGAAGCACGGGCAACCGCCAGAGAGAGCGAGUGGGGAAGCACGGGCAACCGCCAGAGAGAGGGAGUGGGGAAGCACGGGCAACGGUCAGAGAGAGCGAGUGGGGAAGCACGGGCAACGGUCAGAGAGAGCGAGAGGGAUUCAGGGGUGCGUUGGUAGAGGUGCCCAGUGAAGAAGGGACAGAAGAGGAGUUUAUGAAAGAAGAGAGAGACUGUCUGAUUGACACCACUGAGGAUGAAGAAGAGCAGAAGUGUGUUAGCGGUGUCACCCGGCGGUGUGAGUACAUUAGCUACUUACACCUUGUUUUGACAGUAUUGUUCCAUUCAGGUUGUGGAGCAGUCUGCUUUAGGUAGUCAUCAGUUGCAAGGCAACAAUGUAGCAAUGUAUCCAUUCAUUACUGUUGAUAAUAAUUUACCCCACUGAGUGAAAUGGCAUUAGCUUCCCUCUCAAAUGGCUACAAAACCCAGUGUGGAAGUGUUAGCUAGCUAGUAAGUUCUUCCAUACAGCCUUAUCGGUAGCCUUACACUUUGCAUGAAGAGUGCCUACAGUGCAUUUGGAAAGUAUUCAGACCCCUUGACUUUUUCCACAUUUUGUUACUUUACAGCCUUAUUCUAAAAUGUAUUAGAUCGUUUUUUUUCUUCAUCAAUCUACACACGAUACACCAUAAUGACAUCACAAUACACCAUAAUAUCAUCACAAUACACCAUAAUGACAUCACAAUACACCAUAAUGACAAAGCAAAAACACGUUAUUAGUAAUUUUAGCAAAUGGAAAAUAAACUUAAAUAUUACAUUUACAUAAGUAUUCAGACCCUUUACUUAAUACUUUGUUGAAGCACCUUUGGCACCUUUUCCUCUAGUCUUCAUGGGUAUGACGCUGCAAUCUUUUCACACCUGUAUUUUUGGUGAGUUUCUCCCAUUUUUCUCUGCAGAUCCUCUCAAGCUCUUUCAGGUUGGAUGGGGAGCGUCGCUGCACAGCUAUUUUCUGUUCUCUCCAGAGAUGUUUGAUCGGGUUCAAUUCCAGGCUCUGGCUGGGCCACUCAAGGACAUUGAGAUUUGUCCCGAAGCCACUCCUGUGUUGUCUUGGCUGUGUGCUUAGGGUCGUUGUCCUGUUGGAAGGUGAACCUUCACCCCAGUCUGAGGUCCUGAGCGCCCUGGAGCAGGUUUUCAUUAAGGAUCUCUCUGUUACUCGAUUCCUGACUAGUCUCCCAGUCCUCUGAAAAGCAUCCCCAGCUGCCAUCACCAUGCUUCCGUAGGGAAGUUUCCUCCACACACUUAGCAUUCAGGCCAAAGACUUCAAUCUUGGUUUCAUCAGACCAGAGAAUCUUGUUUCUCAUGGUCUGUGAGUCUUUAGGUGUCUUUUAGCAAACUCCAAGCGGGCUUUCAUGUGACUGUUACUGAGGAGUUGCUUCCGUCUAGCCACUCUACCAUAAAGGCCUGAUUGGUGGAGUGUUUGAGAGAUGGUUGUCCUUCUGGAAGGUUCUCCCAUCUCCACAGAGUAACUCUGGAGCUCUGUCAGAGAGACCAUCCGGUUAUUGGUCACCUCCCAGACCAAGGCCCUUUUCCCCAGAUAGCUCAGUUUGGCCAGGUGGCCAGCUCUAGGAAAUGUCUCGGUGGUUCCAAACUUCUUCCAUUUACGAAUGAUGGAGGCCACUGUGUUCUUGGGGACCUUCAAUGCUGCAGACACUUUUUGGUAACCUUCAUCAGAUCUGUGUCUCGCACAAUCCUGUCUCAGAGCUCUACUAACAAUACCUUUGACCUCAUGGCUUGGUUUCUGUUCUGACAUGCACUGUCAACUGUGGGACCAUAUAUAGACAGGUGUGUGCCUUUCCAAAUCAUGUCCAAGUAAUUGAAUUUACCACAGUUGGACUCCAAUCAUAUUGUAGAAACAUCUCAAGAAUGAUCAAUGGAAGCAGGAUGCACCUGAGCUCAAUUUCGAGUCUCCAUAGAAAAGGGUCUGAAUACUUAUGUAAAUACAGUUUCUUAUUUGUAAUACAUUUGCAAAAACAUUCUAAAACCUGUUUUUGCUUUGUCAUUAUGGGGUAUUGUGAUGUCAUUAUGGGGUAUUGUGAUGUCAUUAUGGGGUAUUGUGAUGUCAUUAUGGGGUAUUGUGUGUAAAUUGAUGAGGAAAAAAAUUAUUUAAUAGAUUUUAUAAUAAGGCUGUAACGUAACAAUGUGAAAAAAGUCAAGGGGUCUGAAUACUUUCUGUAUGCACUGUACAUAAGGACUUCGUAACAAAUUCAUAAGCUGUACAUAAGGACUUCGUAACAAAUUCAUAAGCUGUACAUAAGCAUUUCAUGAUUACUUAAGUGCACUAUGUAGGUAAAUAAGUAUUUCAUAUCACAUUCAUAAGGAAUACACUGAACAAAAAUAUAAAUGCAACAUGUAAAGUGUUGGUCCCAUGUUUCAUGAGCCGAAAUAAAAGAUCCCAGAAAUGUUCCAUGCGCACAAAAAGCUUAUUUCUCUCUAAUUAUGUGCACACAUUUGUUUACAUCCCUGUUAGUUGAACAUUUCUCCUUUGCUAAGAUUAUCCAUCCACUUGACAGGUGUGGCAUAUCAGUAAACUGAUUAAACAGUAUUUAUUAGGGAUCCCCAUUAGCUGCUGCCAAUGCAUAUCAAGAAGCUGAUUAAACAGUAUUUAUUAGGGAUCCCCAUUAGCUGCUGCCCACACUGCCUAUCAAGAAGUCUGAUUAAAUCAGUACGUAUUCGGGAUCCC